UACGGAGGGUGCGAGCGUUAAUCGGAAUUACUGGGCGUAAAGGGUGCGUAGGUGGUAUGGUAAGUUAUCUGUGAAAUCCCUGGGCUCAACCUGGGCAGGUCAGAUAAAACUGCUGUACUCGAGUAUAGGAGAGGGUAGUGGAAUUUCCGGUGUAGCGGUGAAAUGCGUAGAGAUCGGAAAGAACACCAACGGCGAAAGCACUCUGCUGGGCCGACACUGACACUGAGAGACGAAAGCUAGGGGAGCGAAUGGG
rnacentral:rRNA from 1 species